rnacentral:rRNA from 1 species
CCCUUAGAUGUCCUGGGCUGCACGCGCGCUACACUGAUGCGUCCAAUAAGCACCUAACCUAAUCCGAAGGGACCGGGUAACCUUUGCAAAGCACAUCGUGAUGGGGAUAGAUUAUUGCAAUUAUUAGUCUUGAACGAGGAAUUCCUAGUAAGCACAAGUCAUCAGCUUGUGUUGAUUACGUCCCUGCCCUUUGUACACACCGCCCGUCGCUCCUACCGAUUGAAUGUUCCGGUGAGCUCUUCGGACUGCGCGGUCUGCAGUUUCUGCGUUCCGUGCGGAAAGUUGCGCAAACCUUAACAUUUAGAGGAAGGAGAAGUCGUAACA